ACUACCUGCACCAGUACAAUCAAGGACUUAAAAUCACUGUCAGAGCCUGAGGAGAAAAUGUCAUUUGAAAAGAUUUCUCAAGAUUUCAGCACAGAUGGGAAUUCGUUUUCUCAUCGUCAAACAUUUGGACAAGGUGGAAGUAAACCUGCGUUUCCACACCACCGACUGGUUAUACUGAGUCUGAGCCUGCUGAACGCUGCUCUGCUGAUAGCUGCUGUUGUCAUUGGGAUUUACUGUGCCAAAGCCAAAGACUUUCAGAUUACAGAUUCAGCUAUUUCACCCCUGAUCAUUGAAAUGAACCAUCUCCGCAACCACAGUGGCAUCACCAAUGAUAAACUGAAGGCCCAAGCAGCACUGGUGAAAGAGCGCACCAACCAGGUGCAACUAAAGCUGCAGGUGAAGCAGAUAAAGGUCCAAAAUGAAUUCCUUCAGAAACAAAUUGAGACACUAACAAUGGAGAAGUCAAAUCUCCAGUCUAAUAAAACCGUUUUAGAGGAAACCUGUGGCAGAUGCCCACCAGGAUGGAUCCUUCUUAAAACAUUGUGUUAUUAUUUUUCUCACCAUGAAAUAAAUUCCAGAAAGAACUGGACGGAGAGCAGAGAACACUGUGUUAGUCAAGGCGGUGACCUGCUUGUGAUCAAUAGCUUGGAGGAGCAGCUCCUCAUAAUCGACAACUAUCAAAAAGUGAGCAGCUCUGGUAUAUGGUGGCAGAAUGGAUACUGGAUCGGCCUCACUGAUGUGGUGACAGAGGGAACGUGGGUCUGGGUUAACAAUGUGACCGAGGCGGAAGCACUGUACUGGAGAAGCGGACAGCCCGACCGUACUGGGAAUGAGAAGAAGAACUGUGCUGCUUUUAUUUACUUUACCGAUACUAUAAAGACAUGGUAUAAUGUAGACUGUAGCAACCAACAGCUGAACUGGAUCUGUGAGAUGGAGCCAACGGAAAUCACAAGGGGAUAAUAAUGAGGAUAAUGAUAAUAGCAAUAAUGCUACAAAAUCUCUCAAAUAAAUUAGCUGCAACUUGACAUGUGGAACAAUCGUGUAAUACACUGCUGUAAGUGAGCUGUUUGAUAACACUGAACGUAUUUAAUGUCCGCAAUGUCUGUAAUGAUUUUAAGAUGCUCCAUUCUUGACUAAAUGAAAUAAAAAUGCAUCCUCAUAGAAUAUUUUUGAUUCUAAUCUCUAGAUGAUCAGAAAACACUGCUGUUUAAGUGACCUUUACCUCCUGUAAAUGUUUAACAAAUGAACUUGAUUUUCUGUUUGCACUGUUACACACAUGCCCAAACACCUGCGGGGCAACGUCCUAACAAAUAAUCUCUCCCGGGGCGAUCUUUGCUACACUGCUCUCAUCUCAUCAAUUAAAAUGGAUGACAAAGGAAAUAAUGCUGACUUUGAGAGUACUUAUAACAAACUGACUUAUCCAGAGGAAACUGGUGCAGAUGACCACCCUUUCUACUCAAACCGGGAGCGGCAACAAGUGUCCCUGUCCACACUGAGGUCUGCAUCCCCUUUGAAUCAUUACAAAGUGCUUGCAGUGAGCCUGGCAGUGCUCGCUGCCAUUCUGCUAGCAGCUGAUAUAGGCCUGGGAGUCUACU